AUCUCCAUGAGGUCCAUCAUGGGGUCCAUCAUCUCCUCCUGGAUCUCCAUGAGGUCCAUCUUGGGGUCCACCAUCAACUCCUGGGUCCAUCUUGGUGUCCACCAUGAAGUCCCAGAGAUAUUUUGGGGUCCAUCAUCUUCUCCUGGUCCUUCUGGGUCCCACCUUGGUUCUCCUCGAUCUCCUCCAGGUCCCACCUUUGGUCACCCCAAACCUUCUCCAGGUCCCCCCAUGGUGACCCCAAAACUCCCCAAAUUUGGGGUCCCCAAAUUCGGGUGGGCGUGGUCAAAUUGGGGUGGGCGUGGCCAAAUUGGAGUGGGCGUGGCCAAAAUUGGGGGUGGGCGUGGUCAAAUUGGGGGUGGGCGUGCCCAAAAUUUGGGGGGUCCCAUAGGUGGUCCCAUGGGUGAUGUCCCCAAAAUGGGGUCCCCAAAAUUGGGGUGGGGGUCCCCAAAAUUUGGGGUCACCAAGGUGGGGACGGUCCCCAAAAUUUGGGGUCCCCAAAAAUUUGGGUGGGGGUCCCCAAAAUUUGGGGUCACCAAGGUGGGCGUGGCCAAACUGGGGGUGGAGCCUCCAACUUCGGUGGGCGUGGCCAAGUUGAGGUGGGCGUGACCAAUUCAAGUGGGCGUGGCCAACUUGUGGGCGUGGCCAAGUUGAGGUGGGCGUGGCUAGAUUGGAGGUGGGCGUGGCCUCAAAUCGGGGUGGGCGUGGCCAAGUUGGCUCCGCCCCCCCCCGCUCCGCUCACUGCCGGGGGAAACCCCCUCAUUAAUUGUUAAUUAGCCCUUAAUUAAUUAAUGGAUUAAUUAAUUGCCGCCCUCUUUCCUCUGUUUUUAAUUGGUUUUUUGGGGUUAAUUUUAUUUUUUUGGGGGGUUUAAGUUUAAUUUUUUUUUUUGUUAAAAACCUCGCGGGUUUUAUUUAUUGUUGUUGAAAGGAGAUGGAAAUAAAAAUAAAAAUAAAAAUGGAAAUGGAAAUAAAAUAAAAAUGGAAAUGGAAAUAAAAUGAAAAUAAAUAAUAAAAAUGGAAAUGGAAAUAAAAUAAAAAUGGAAAUGGAAAUGGAAAUAAAAAUAAAAAUAAAAAUAAAAAUGAAAAUAAAAUGAAAUUAAAAUAGAAAUAAAAAUAGAAAUAAAAAUAAAAAUAAAAAUAAAAAUAAAAAUAAAAAUAAAAAUAAAAAUGAACAUGAAAAUAAAAUAAAAUAAAAUAAAAUAAAAAAAUAAAAAUUAAAUAAUUAGAAACUUAAAAAAUAAAAAUACAAAUAAAAAUAAAAAUAAAAAUAGACAUUUAAAAAUAAAAACAAAAAUAAAAACAAAAAUAAAAAUAAAAAUAAAUUAAAAAUAUAAAUAAAAAUAAAAAUAAUAAGAAAUAAAAAUAAAAUAAUAAAAUAAAAAUUAAAAUUAAAAAAAUGAAAAUGUAAAGGGACGGGAUUUUUCCCGGGAAUUUUCGGGAAUUUUCCCGAUUUUUGGGCUGUUUCCCCCCAAAAUGGAAUUUUGGAUUUUUUUGGGGCUGCGGCCGCCCCGACCCGUGUGAAUAAAAACCCGACGGAAAAUCCCAGGAGCCCCGAGUUUUGGGAUGGGAAUUUGGGGAAUUUGGGAAUUUUGGGGAAUUUAGGAAUUUUGGGGAAUUUUUGGGAUGCAAAGAGGGAAUUUUUGUGAAUUUUGGGGGAAUUUUUGGGAAUUUUUGGGAUGGGAAAAGGGAAUUUUGGGGAAUUUUUGGGAUUUUUUGGGAUGGGAAAUGGGAAUUUUUGGGAGGUGUUGGCCAUUUUUGGAAUGGGGCAGGAAUUUUGGGGAAUUUUUGGGAUGGGAGGAGGGAAUUUUUGGGAAUUUUUGGGGAAUUUUGGGGAAUUUUGGGGAAUUUUUGGGAAUUUUUGGGAUGGCAAAUGGGAAUUUUGGGGAAUUUUUGGGAGAUUUUGGGAAUUUUUGGAAAUAUUUGGGAUGGAAGAGGGAAUUUUGGGGAAUUUUGGGGAAUUUAUGGGAGGGUUUGGGAAGUUAUGAGAAUUUUGGGGAAUUUUGGGGAAUUUUUGAGAGGUUUUGGGAAGUUUUG
ensembl:lncRNA